AGGAUGUGCCCAGAGGGCGCCCUUCCUUUAGAGGCCUCGUUUGCCCGACACUUACGACAGGCCUUAGGGCGUAAGGCGUGGACGUGCGUGACGUCACCCUCGGGCCGGCGAGCUGGGGAGGGCGAGGAUCCUGGCCGCAGCUCCCUCGGGAUCCGGGUGUGGCUAGGCUCAGGUAACGCCCGGCCCUGAGGACUCCUUCGGCCUCCGCCCACCGGGAGUGCUGAGACCGCCGGCCGGUGUGCUGGCGACCUUUACCCAGGCUCGGUCAAGGCUUCCUGGCUGGCGCAACUGCAGCGGCCUCGCAGUGGACGCCUGCUGGUGACCUUUACUCUGUUAAACCAUCUCCUUCCAGCUCUCCCAGUGAGAGCCCCAGAGCUGGGGAAGGUAAAAUGGAAAAUGUAUGUUUUAUUUGGCUAUAGACAAGCUUUUCUGUGUGGAAAUUCCCGGCUCUCAAGAUUUCAAAGAUACAAAAGGACUCACUGGACAAAAACUUAUGAAAUCAAGAUUGCAUUGACUAUCUUCUGUGCAGUUAUUUAAAUCAUCUAGGAAAGAUGUACAUUUAAGAUUUGUACAGUUUUAAUGAAUGCAUACUUCACAAUGAAUGAAGAACAGAAAACCAAAAUUUUAACUCAGGCUAGCUUUGAACUUGAUAUGCAGCUGAGAAUGACCUUCAGCUCUUGGACCAAUUACCUCUGGUCUUCAAGUGCUGGAAUCACAGAUAUGCACCACCAGGCCUGCUUUACGAAGAGCUGAGAAAUCACACCAGGAUUGCAUGCAUGCUGAGAAAUCACACCAGGAUUGCAUGCAUGCUGAGAAAUCACACCAGGAUUGCAUGCAUGCCGAGGUAGCUCACUACCAACUGAACAUCUCUGCCUCCAGGACUUGCAUUUCAUUCUUUAAGAAGCUUCACAGGGAUUUUUGUCACCACUAAAACAUGCUUUCCUGGAGUUAGUCAUGCAAUUGAGCCCACAUCAGUGUCAGAACAUGUAACUAAUCCAACAGAAAAUGCCCAUUGCAAGUACAGAACCAAAAUGAUUAAGAGCCCUUAGGUGGCUGAUAAAGUAUAGCUAUGGACCCAAUCCAGGUGUUUGAUUUGGAAUCCCCUUAAUAAAUACUGAAACUAAUAUAAAAUAAAGUGUUUGUU